AGGGUUUCCUGGUUACUUGCUCCAAGG
rnacentral:piRNA from 1 species